rnacentral:rRNA from 1 species
UACGUAGGGCGCAAGCGUUGUCCGGAAUUAUUGGGCGUAAAGAGCUCGUAGGCGGUUUGUCGCGUCUGCUGUGAAAACCUAAGGCUCAACCUUGGGCUUGCAGUGGGUACGGGCAGACUAGAGUGCGGUAGGGGUGACUGGAAUUCCUGGUGUAGCGGUGGAAUGCGCAGAUAUCAGGAGGAACACCGAUGGCGAAGGCAGGUCACUGGGCCGCAACUGACGCUGAUGCACGAAGGCCCAGGGGGAGCAAACGGG